rnacentral:rRNA from 1 species
AGCGGCGGACGGGUGAGUAACACGUGGGUAACCUGCCUGUAAGACAUGGGAUAACUCCGGGAAACCGGGGCUAAUACCGGAUGGUUGUUUGAACCGCAUGGUUCAAACAUAAAAGGUGGCUUCGGCUACCACUUACAGAUGGACCCGCGGCGCAUUAGCUAGUUGGUGAGGUAACGGCUCACCAAGGCAACGAUGCGUAGCCGACCUGAGAGGGUGAUCGGCCACACUGGGACUGAGACACGGCCCAGACUCCUACGGGAGGCAGCAGUAGGGAAUCUUCCGCAAUGGACGAAAGUCUGACGGAGCAACGCCGCGUGAGUGAUGAAGGUUUUCGGAUCGUAAAGCUCUGUUGUUAGGGAAGAACAAGUACCGUUCGAAUAGGGCGGUACCUUGACGGUACCUAACCAGAAAGCCACGGCUAACUACGUGCCAGCAGCCGCGGUAAUACGUAGGUGGCAAGCGUUGUCCGGAAUUAUUGGGCGUAAAGGGCUCGCAGGCGGUUUCUUAAGUCUGAUGUGAAAGCCCCCGGCUCAACCGGGGAGGGUCAUUGGAAACUGGGGAACUUGAGUGCAGAAGAGGAGAGUGGAAUUCCACGUGUAGCGGUGAAAUGCGUAGAGAUGUGGAGGAACACCAGUGGCGAAGGCGACUCUCUGGUCUGUAACUGACGCUGAGGAGCGAAAGCGUGGGGAGCGAACAGGAUUAGAUACCCUGGUAGUCCACGCCCGUAAACGAUGAGUGCUAAGUGUUAGGGGGUUUCCGCCCCUUAGUGCUGCAGCU